rnacentral:lncRNA from 1 species
AAAAAAAUAUACCACGUGCAAUUACUGGAGGAGUGAAACCAACCGUGUAUUGGCUUUCCGCGUGUUAGGAGCUCGAACUAACGAAUACCGGAACGUCCACCCUCCAUGAGAGCGGCAGAUUUGACUAAGGAUUAUUCAACGUGUUUUUACCUCAAAUGGACACAUUCUUCAACAAGAUCGACUUCAUAGCAAUAAAGGUCUGUUAGACUUUGCUUUCGUCAAGCUGCUUCCUUGGGAUAAAACCCCUGCAAAUUGCAUACAGCAUGGAUUGCAUUAAAAGAUUCUUUGACCCAGCACCACCCUGGCAGCUGAAACCAGCAUGAUGUUGUCCUCAAGAAAACCAGCACAGCACGCCACCAUUACUCGGUGAACUCCAAGCUACUGAAAUCUUCACUUGAUCUGAUGAGGUACACGAAAUCAGAGAACCCUCAGCACUCACCGUGACUGAUUCCUGUAAUUCAACCAGUGUGAGACGAACAGGAAUUCUCUCUUGUUGGAUGCCACUCAGCGACACUGAUCACUUCUUAGAUGCUCUCCUGAACAAGUUGGAUCUGCAUUGACUGUGUGAGAUUCAUAAGCUACGCCACCACCACUAAGCAGGACUUGCAACAGAACAAUUGGACUUCCUACAAAAAGGAUUGCCUGGAGAUCUUGGCUUUCAAGCUCAGUGUGCCACAAGAUGAUUCAACGUCUGGCUAGUCAUCAGAAAAUGCGUCGAGUUGUGUUUUCUCCAUUUGAACAAUAAGCAACUCGAAGGAUAACCCAUCCUUGAGCCAUGUGCCUGCACGAGUCUCACCAAACUUUUGAAUAACUGCUGAGACAUCAUGCAUUGAGUAGUCAUGCACUAGACAUCAUGAGAUCACAUUUUAGCUCUGAACAGACUGACAGGAGUUCAUGAUGUGCCGGAGACUUGUUGAGGGAACGCUUUUGAAAAUGAACUCUUUCAAACAGAAAGUCUGUUGAAAUGAACUCUUUUGAAACAGAACUUAUCGGAAACAAAGCUUUGUCGAAAUGGAACUCUUGUUCAUGAACUCUGUUGAAGUUAAACUCUUUGAAAAGAAACUGUUGAAAGGAACUCUUUUGGAACAGAACUUGUUGGAAACAACUCUUUUGAAACGGAACUCUUUGGAGAUGGAACUCUUGUGAAAUCGACUCUUUGAAAUGGAACUUUCGUAAAAUGGAACUCUUUGAAAGGACAUUUUAUGCUCUAGAAGUAGAGGUCUCUCUUUCCUUGAGGUCACUUAAGGUCAUCAGAGGUCACCUCUGUGACCCCACGUAUGCAGAAGAGGUUGCCUUGGGUGACCACAAUUUGACAAAAAGUCUAGAAUCUUGAUAGGAAAGUGCAAUAAUGUUCGCUCAGUAUUUAAUGAUGGAAAGUAAUGCAGUCAUACACUUAGUGACAAGUUGGGACAAGAUCCCCAAAGUUAAUUUUCCAGAAACCUUCAAAAGAUGCUAUCUUUCUUUGCGGACCCACAAUUGAUGGCAGACUUAGUUGAGAUCAAACCAAACCAAAUCAAACCAAAUCAUAAAAUGUGACAAUGGAAGAGAGGCCUUUACAUACCACACGUAACCAGCUCCUCUCCGUAAACUCAAGGCAUAUCAUAGAAUUGAUAUGUCUUUGAUUUGAUUCAGUAAGUCCACUAAUUUGCUCGGAUCAAUCGUUUCAAAUCACUAGGAAAAAACUUUCAACAAGCAGUCAAACUGAUGAGAGUGCUGCAUUAUAUUUUUCUAAUUUUCUGAUACAUGUACUGUACAUGUAUGCAGCUUCUUAUAGGCAGAUUUUUGUACUCGGUAUUCACUAAAGCUGAAGGCUGCGCAAUUCUCCAUGUUCUUGCAGAAAAAAAUCUCUUCAGAGAACCUUGAUGAUGCAUCUGCGUGCAUAUGGAGAAAGAGAGCUGGUUACGUCAAUUGAAUUGAUAUUUUAAUUUGACAUAUUUUUAUGGCAUUGCCUGAUUGGUAAUAGCUGGGUGCAAGAUUGGUUUAAAUUGAAACUUUUUUAGCAAAUUGUGUUUUAGUGAGUGUUUUCAGAAAUGUAUUACAUACUUUAUUUCAGACUUCUGACCACUGUUUGGUCCAAUUUAAAUCAAAUAAGUUUGAGAUAUGAACAAAAUCAAAAUUCUUACUCUCCAACUCGUGCACGGGAAAAAAACCCACAUAUCCAUGUUAAUUUUCAAUUUGGCAAACAAAAAUCAACCAAUGAACUUUUUGUUUAUGCUUUGGAAUUUCUGUCAACUCAUCUGAAAAGACUUUUCAAAAAAAAAAUUCUGUUGGUCAUAAUUUACCUGCCUACUAUCAGCAACCAUGCCAGUCUUGUACCCAGCUUUUGUUUUAUCAAGUAUAGUCAGCACUGGUCCAAUGUUUAACAGACAAACUUUGUCUGUGAAUGAAAGAAGUAAUUGCAAAUUGGUUUUAGUGUCACAUUUUCGAGAAAAAAAAUUGCUAAACCAAAAAUAGUCCAUUUCACAGUGAAAACACUGUUAAAAAUUCCAUCAAAAAAUCUUUCUUUUUCAAUAGUUUACAAGGUGUUUUUGUGGACACACCUUAGUUACAUGUAAAUACCUCAAGAAAUGCAGUCUUUUUGUCCAUUCCUCAUAAGCGGCGUAAACAAAUCCCAUUUGAAAUAAAAAAUUAGGUGGUACUAACACUGUUUAUUACAUGUACUUGCUAAACACCAAUUUUAAAUUUUGCCACAAAAAGGAAAACAAAAAUUUAUGUUCCAGUGCUGGCUGUACAUGUUCAUGUGAAAAAAACUUGAUAAUUUUUUUGAGUAACCCAUUCAUUACUUGACAUUUGACCAACAGGCAAUGUUCUGAUACACUUGAGCCCAACGCAUGCAAGUCCCCCCGGGGCGUGCACGUGUGGUGUUCCCCGCCCGCAGAUGCCGGCUCGUCUGGUGGGUCGUCCCUAUCUGCAUUGACGAUUGGUCUUUUGGUCAAGGUGUGUGCUUGCUUCCUGAUCUUGUGGUCUGGAUGAUCGUGGAUGACUUGGUCGACUUCAACAUGGUAAGGAUCCUUUUGAACUUUGACAAUUAGUUUGCCUUUCUGCAAAGGAGAUGUAUUUUUGGCCGUUUCCUACCGAGUGUUGCUGUGGAAGUUAUGUACCAUCUAUCACUCUGGAGAUUGCAAAUCUAGAGAUCAAUCGAGCAUCUACUCUUGAUGUCUUACUUGCAUUUCGUUAGUUCCAUGGCAUCAUGUUGAUCCAAAUGAUCUGCUAACAAAUGGAUACUGUUGUUGGUAUCUCUGAUGUUCUUCAAUGCGGUUUGAUUUUCGGACAGGUGUUUCAGCCGCUAUUUAUGUGAAUAACUUCCAUGGUAUAACUCUGAAAUCUCACUGCCUUUUAUUGUGUCAUCAUGUACAAUCAGUUCUCUCAUAGAGUGUGUUCUAAUCUAGACAUGCACGAAUAAACAUAAGGAAAUUACUUCAAGGAAAUCAGUUAAAAUUAACUGAACAGGUCAAAUCUGCUCUAAAUACAGUAUCUGAUGCAUAACUUAAAAAUUGUGUUUGCAAAUAAUAUUUGUCUUUUUGUCAGCACAAGAUUCUUAACAUAAACCUGAAAGUACAGACCAAUUUUUGGGCUAAAUUUAAAAAAAAAACAUUUGUGUGUUUGGCAGCACAUAAAGCACGAGUUGAUAAACCGAAAAAUAGUGACCAAACGUUUUAUUCAAUAUCAAAAAGGCAGCUUCCUUGCCUUGGAUAAUCUCUGUAUAAAGUCAGUCAAAAUUCUAAAUUCUAGUUUUCAUUGUUAAAAAAGUAAGUCCUGAUUUCAAAGCAACCCUAUCAAAAGCAUUUAAAAAUUCAGAUUCCAGAAACAAUAAGGAACAUGAAAUCAAUGAAUGGGCCAGUGCCAUCAUUUUUAUCAUCAGAAAAGCUGUUGAAAAACUAACAUUAGGAAGUAAAUUUUAGGAAAGAAGAAAAAGGAGAGAAGGCCAAACUCUUCAUAUUGUAGGGGAGAAGUCCUGGUGUGCAGAGGGGGAGAACCAUGCUGCUUCCUGGCCAGAUGGAAGAUGUGGUGGAC